rnacentral:rRNA from 1 species
CCUAGCUUGAAACUCAAAAGACUUGACAGUAUCUCACACACCCCUAGAGGAGCCUAUCCUAUAAUCGAUAACCCACGCUAAACCUUACCUGCCCUUGAACAAAUCAGCCUAUAUACCUCCGUCGCCAGUCCGCCUGUCAACAGUUAAUAAAGCGCGUACAAUAGCCCAUCGCUCACACGACAGGUCAAGGUGUAGCUAAUGGGCAUAGGCAGAGAUGGGCUACAUUUUCUCCACUAGAAAACACCUAAAAUGCAAUGAAAUGUGACUUGUAAGGUGGAUUUAGCAGUAAGCGAGGUCAGACAAGCCCCCCUGAAGCCUUCCAUGAGAUGUGUACACACCGCCCGUCACCCUC